AGAGGAAGUCUGUACAGACACUAAUUCAUCCACCAAACAAUCAAUUAGAUGACCGAAGGCAGUUGAGGAUGGCCCUCGAUACUGCCCGAGGAAUGAACUAUUUGCACAACUGCACUCCAGUGAUUGUACACCGUGAUUUGAAGUCACCAAAU